rnacentral:misc_RNA from 1 species
GGAAAUAUUUCACAUUUUUCUACACUUUCUAUAUACUUAAAUUUAUAAUAAUUAAACGAUUAAUAAAGGAUGAGUCUGCAAUAUCGGCUGCUUUUUAACAGGAACAAUAUCUAGACCUGGGAAACUCCUCAUUUCAACAUUCGACAUCCGUUGUAUUUAAAAAAAAAGAUUUAUUUCUUUGCAAUGUAUUGCACUUUGAUGAAGAAAAAUUCAUUAUAUUUGUUUAAAACCCAAUGUUCAAUCAAUGGAUCCUAAUCAGAAUUUCUGUGCGGUAAUUCUGAGCCAACACAUGUUCAAGUGUAAAUUUCGUCUCUGGGCCGUUGCUGGCCGUUGCUCUAAGCCUCUGCCUCCCCUGAUGGUGCCACUUAUAUGCCGAUCACAACAAACAAAAGUUUGCCGCUCAUGAAUUUUUGAACCCUGUGAACAUAACCUCACCAAAUAGACGUCAAUUGUAUUUCCGAUUAGAAGUUGAAGAUUUUUUCAAAAAAUGUUGACAGAAUAUUUUUUAAAACAUCACAAGCACGAAAUCAUCGAAAUAUUGGAUGCGCCUGAACAACAUGCACAAUAUGCAAUUUAUGUCAAUUUUCUUGAUUUAUUCGAGGCUGACGUUGACAGUGCCAAUAAACUACGCCAUCGUCCUCGAGAAUAUUUGCCUCGUUGCGACGAAUCAGCGAUAAAAGCCCAACAAUUGAUAGUUACAGCGGAACAAACUGUCAAACAAAGAGUAAAAACCAGAAUCACCGGUGUUCCACUCAACGUCAAUGAGGGUCUCAUUGGUGAGCUGGUAUCGACAACUGGAAUUACAGUUCGAAUUUCUCAGCCCACUGUUUUAAAACUCAUAGAGCGAUAUAAAUGUCGAAAAUGUGAAUAUGUCACAGUCCUCAAGUUGGAUUGGGAGAGGCAAGCUUUCGAAGAGACCAAAGAAUGCGGGGCUUGCGUGGCACCAACCAUAUCUUUAUUGCCAUCAUUGCAGUACGAAGAUUCAGGAGAUUAUCAAGAGAUAAAAAUUCAGGAAAAGUGCGAUACAGAUUCGAAAAAUUCUUACACGGAGGGUUUAGAAGUUAUUCUAAUGGAUGAUUUAGUAGACAAAUGCAGGCCAGGUGAUCUAGUGGAUAUUUGUGGUGUUAUAAUAAGACGUUGGGACCUGUUUGAAGAAGGCGAACGAAUGAUAGCAACGACAAUCAUGAUUGCAAACAGUAUAUCUGUACGUCGUAAAAUUACCCAAUCGAAAUUUUCAUCAAAUGAGAUUCAAGAUAUUUUUCAAAGUUAUUGGGAUAGAUAUCGAGACAACCCCUUGGUUGGCAGAGACAAUAUCGUUGCUUCGAUUUCACCCCAGCUUUUUGGUAUGUAUGUCGUCAAAUUGGCUUUGGCUCUCGUGCUCGCGGGAGGCGUCACAAAAACAAAUAAUACAGGAUCUCGAAUACGAGGUGAAUCACACUUGCUUCUCGUCGGAGAUCCAGGAACUGGAAAAUCUCAAUUACUUCGAGCAGCUUCCCGUUUGGCUGUUCGUUCGGUAUUGACAACUGGUGUGGGCACUACGGCUGCUGGGUUGACUGCAGCAGCUGUCAAAGAUGCAGACGGUUGGCAUUUGGAGGGCGGAGCCCUCGUAUUGGCGGAUGGCGGUGUGUGUUGCGUGGACGAGUUUACAACAAUGAGCUCAGAAGAUCGUGCCUCGCUCCACGAGGCGAUGGAACAACAAACGAUAUCGAUAGCAAAAGCUGGUUUAGUCAGUACACUGAAUUCUCGUUGUUCUGUGGUCGCAGCAAUUAAUCCAGACGGUGGUAAUUUCGUCGAAGGCGAAGAGAUGAAAACGAGCUUAGGCGAUCCUCUCUUGUCACGAUUCGAUCUCAUACUACUUUUGAAGGACAACAAAAAUCGUGAAUGGGAUCGCAUGAUGACGGAUCAUAUUUUACGAGCUGCUUGCAGUCGUAAUGUUGAUGCACAAAGCAAAAUGGACUUAAAAAAGCCCAUGGACCUAUUAAAAUCCGAUGGAAUAUGGAAGGAAGAAAGUUUACGAGAAUAUUUGGCCUACGUACAUUCAAUCAAACCAGUGCUAACGCGAGAGGCUGAGAAAGUUUUAAGUACAGUAUUUUUGUACCACAGAUCGAAUCCUGAUAGGCGAGAAGAGAGAACGACGGUUCGGCUUCUCGACAGUCUCGUACGCCGAAGGUCACGCACGAUUGAUGUUUAGAGAUCGUGUCGAAAUAAUGGACGCUAUAUUUGCGACUAAGCUGAUGGGAACUCAUCCCGGAUCUAGUACUGAAAUGGGAUGCCCAUUUCCUACCGAUCCGACCGAAACUUAUCGGCAAGAAGCAAUGGCACUUCUGCAUCACCUCGAUUUGCAAGAUUUGAUUACGUCGCUGUAAAUGAAAAAAAAUCGUCGACACCGACGUGCGCCCUUUUCCAAAGAUGAAAAUAAUCAAAAUGACAAAUAAAUGAAUCGUCAAAUUCUU